rnacentral:lncRNA from 1 species
AUUCUUAUAUUUUAUAUAAAAAUUAGUACUUUUUAUUAUCAUGAAACCAAUCAUAUCAAGUAACAAUUUUAAUACUAUAUACAUAUAACUUCUUAUAGAUUUUUCCAGCAUUUCCUAAAAUUUUCAUUUCAUCAAGACUGGUGUUCACAAUUUUUGAUAUUUUUACAAAAUAUCCCACAUCAAAUAAUAAUAUAGGAUUCCAAACUUUCAAAUCAUAUGCUACAACCAUAUUCUCAUCCCACCAACUCUUUUAACUUAACUUUCUUUGUGAAAAUGAAAAAUCACUUAUUCAGCGAUCUCAUUGCCCAACUCUUUUUCUGUUAACAAGAGAAACAAAGUUUAUAAUACAAGCAAGAAUCAAGUCUAUAGUUUUACCUAAUGGAUUAAGGAGUCACCAUUUGAAAAUCAAGUUUUUAUUUGGUUCAUGGUUAGAUGCUAGAUCCCAAAAUGUUAAUACGCAAGAAGCCCUCAGAUCUCAUACACGGUAAGGCUCAUGGUUUUCAUUAAAGGCCAGUCCACACCUUCAAAAUAAUAAUAAUAAUAAUAAUAAUUGUCAUAACACAGAGGCUGAUGAAGAAGGAGGAGAAGGGGGAGGCUAUUAAUGAAAACCAUAUAACCACACAUGAGUUUUCCAUCAUUGGGCAUUUGCUCACCACAAUGAAAAAGAUAACCACAAUUUCGGAUAUCCACCUGUGAUUCACUAGUGAUAUAAUGAGUUCAUCAAUCUAUACCAAUUGACCUUUUUAAAUAAACCCAUUCGAUGAUUCGAUUUCUUGAAAGGCAACAAGCUGAGGCAAAAAGCUUCUUGCUUAGCAGAUUGUCUGAAGUUCCAACUUGCAUAUAAACUCAUGCUCUUCAAAAAAGCAAACAUAGAUCUUUCUCAAAAGGCAAUAUUAAAAAACAAAGAAGUAAAAAUUCAGUGGGAGUGGUAAUGGCAUAUGAAAAUUUAAAACCAUAACUUUCAUCACAUGCUAAAACUGGGUUGAUCUAAAAGGAAAUGUAAGAGAAGUGAAGGACAAAAAAAAGAAAGAACCAGACAAUAACAUCUAUUGAUAGCCCUCAGAUCUCAUAGCUAUUAUUAGUCAUCGUCAGUUAUAACAAACUGAUUCUUAUUAAGAGCCUCCACAUCUUCAACCACAGUAGAAAAGAGAGAUAGAGAGAGAGAGAGAGAGAGAAAGAGAGAGGUGGUGGUGGUGAGGCUGAUGGUGAGGAUGAGAGUAAAGGCUCCUAAUAAAAAUCAAUUUAAACCCUCCACAAAAUAAGUUUUCCAUCAUCGGGCAGAUGUUCAUAUUGAUAUUAUUGUCGACUGAAAAAUCAGGAUACACCUAUAAUAAGAGAGGACUGCAUGCAAGAAAACAGUUCAUUUAUAAAAAAUAAAAAUAAAAAAACAGAAAGAAAGAUAAAAGAUGAAAUAAGAAAACCAAUUCAUAAACAAACAAAAUGUGUAAUUAUACUAAAACAAUUUGAGCUUAAAGCAGAAGUACAACAGGAAAAAUACAACAGCAGCUUAAACCUAUAAUCAGUUUGGGUGGGUCAGAUGUGUUCAGCUAAAUAAUGUUUCAAUGAUUAAAUGAAAUAGGACCAUAUGAAAAAUUAUGCAGUAUCUGCCCACCAAUAACCAAAAGAAAUAAACAAGGGCAAAUCCCAAAUAAAUAAAUUUUCAAAUCUCAAACCAUCAAUCUAAAUUAAGCUAUAGAAGUAAUAAUGCCAAGAAGAACAUCAACAGAAUACUAGAAAAAUCCAAGGAAUAAAUAAUGGAUAGGAUUAAAUGGAUGCAAUAUCCUCAAGAAAUGGACACCUGUAAAUACCACAAAAGCAAAUAGCUUACAAUUGGUCUAUAUCUUGUCAUAGCUGAGCACAUCUAUAAGAUAUACACACCACCAAAAUAACUUUAUUCUACUACAUAAUGUUGUUUAAUCAUAACAUCAACUUAUUCAAAUAUGCAAAAGGCAGUUAGUACAGUUCACCUGCUGAUCUUCAAGACUUAAACCAACCAGCACUGUACCCAUAUGAGAUAAGAAACACUCCAUUCACAUAAGCUUCCAGCACUAGUACCAUAGAAAAAUAAUACACAGUGCUAACUUCAACAUCACCCCCAUAGGCAUCGAAAUCUCAGAAAAUAACAAGACAAAACCAUUGGAUAUAACAAUAGUCUCCAAAACAAGUCUCAACUGGGCGAGUAUCAGUGAGAACUUCAUUCCCAAGAUUAAGAGCCAUUCAAAAUACUAGAAAAGCUCAAACUUCAUAUGAGACAAAAUGGGUUUUUUUUUUUUUUUUGCAAAUCAAGUUUCCAUUCGAAAAACAUAGAUAUGAAGAGUACAUUUACAUGGUUCUCAUUAACCUAAAAAGAUUGUCAACAGUUCAAUGUCUUAGAUGCCAUAUUACAAUAUAUAAACAAGUAAAGCCCUCAGAUCUCAUAGCUACCAAUAUUCAUAGAAGGUAAAGCUUGUAAUUUUCAUUAGAAGCCAAUCCACAACUUGAUAAUAAUAAGAAUGCUAACAGCAGUAGUAAGAAGAAGAAGAAGAAGAAGAAGAAGAAGAAGAUGAUGAUGAUGAUGAUGAGGGAGGCUCCUAGUGAAAACCACAGCAACCACACCAAAUAUGAGAAUUCCAUCAUAGGGCAGAUGGCCAAGAUUCAAAAGCUUUGUCAUCCAUGGUUUAUAGAAUGAAAUAGUCCAGAUAAUAAGAACAUAAAAGAGAGCAUAAUCACAAAGGAAGGAAUGGUAAGAAGAGGUCAGAAGAGCCAAAGAAGAAACGAGCAUAAAGACUCCCGCAGAAACCAUAAACAAAGCUGCUUCGGAAAAACACAUUCAGAAUUACAAGGAAGCAGAUUUCACAAUCAAUAGUAAUUGUAACAGAAGUUCUCAUUUGUUUAAAAGACAAUAAUAACACACGUUGUGCAUUAUGGGAUCAAAGAAAAGAUCAAGAAGCAACCCAUGUUAAGGACUUGCCUGACUUUUAGGGGAAAAAAAAAGGUGAUCAUAGGUACAACAAAGCACUUAAAACAGUGUAGACAAACUUGAUAACGCAACUUGGCCCCUCAAAUUUGUUGAAAAAUGGUGAGACUGAGGUUCCGACUAGUGCGUUUUUUAAUGAACCACACUGACCUCUCAAAAGGCUAUCUUAAUUAUAUAAUUCUGUGAAUAAAAAGGUCAAAACAUGCACAUAGUUAAAUUGAUCUCAAAUAAUAGCAGGAUAACAAAAUAAAGCACCCAUCACGUGUGUGACCCAUAGGAUGAAAAUCCGUUGCACCAAGUAAUUUCACUAGUCUUAACUCAGGUCGUAAGGGUAUAUUUCCAAUCAUUCAAAAAGUCAGCAACUUAAUUCAUGUAAUUGAAACUCCACCAGUAACCUAAUGACACCAAAAUAACAAUGUGAUAGUUGUCUGAUAUUUAAACCAAUCGAAAUCCAUUCUGAGGCAGUAGCAAUGAUAGAAGAAAACAUUUCAAUAGUUAUACCUAAACCCGAUUCAAAAACCAAAACACUUGAUCAAAUGAAACAAAAAAGAAAGGACGCAAUGGAUAGAAAAUCGCAAAAAAAAAAAAAAAACAUAGACAAAAAUAUACUAAAAAAGCCCUCAGAUCUCAUAGCUAUCAUAAGUCAUUGUUAGUAAAACAAACCGGUUUUUAUUAAGAGCCUUUCCACAUCUUUAUCCAUACUAAAGAGAAUGUGAAAGAUUGAGGGAGGAAGAGGAGAGAUAGAGAGAGAGAGAGAGAGAGAGAGAAAGCGAGAGAGAGAGAGAGAGAAGACAGAUUAAGAAGAAUAUGGCGAGGAUGAUAGUCAAGGCUCCUAACAAAAACGACUGCAACCCCCUCCAUAGAAUGAGUUUUCCAUCAUUGGGCAGAUGAAUUGAAAUAAUAACUAAUAAUCAGAACACCAGCCAUGAAUGCUUGUAAGAAACAAUUAUAAGUUUAAAAGAUUAAUUAAAAAAUUAAAAUAUAUAUAUAUCAUAAAAGAAAACAUAAUGAUCAAAACAAAUUGAAGACCACAAUAUUCUCCCUAUCUGAAGAUAAAUGAAACAAGACAUCAAGAUUUGUUUUCUUGGUUAAUAUUCAAAUAUGUUGACAAAACCAACAAAAACUCCAUACCAAAAAAGUAAUUGCAACAUUUAAAGGCAAAUGAUAUGAGAAGGGUGGUCAGAUACAGCUUUCUAGGCUAGCAUUUCCAUCAAUAUUACUCAGAGCCCAGUGCAUAUCAUCAUUCGUUCUAAAAAAUCAACAAAAGAAAGGAUAAAAAUGUCCAUUGAAUAAAACUCUAUUAUUCAAGAAAAAUCUUGCAACUGCAAGAUCCAUAAAAUCGACACCGCAUUUGAUGAAAAUCCUCAGAUCUCAUGCCUUUGAACAAACAAUCUAGGGUUUUGUACUCAAUCGCAUUCAUCAAAACCCUUUUCUAUAUAACACAGUAAUUCAUAAUAAAAACUAACAAACAACGUAGCCAUCCGACAGCUCCGCAGCCACCGUCGCAGGAGUCGUCAGCCCGGAGUGCGAGCAGAGGUAGAUGGGAUCAUGGGAAGAGGUAUAGAAUGACGUACGUAGGGUUUUAUCGCCCAUUUAUAGGCAGAGUUGAAUUCCUAAAAGAACCCUGGAUUUAGUCGUAAAUAUCUAGGUUCACCCGAUCUGGGCUUUUCUUUGGGUUUGGGCUUAUUUGAUAUAUCGAAAGUGAUGGGCCAGGCUAAGCUUUCGUGGGUUGUAUU